GGCAACCCGCUCCGGUGUCCUUCCAUGCUGUGGAGGCUCUGUUGUUUCGCUCUUUCUACUGCUUACUCUUCGGGUCCACACUGCUUUUAUGAGCUGUAACACUCACCCUGAAGGUUUGCAACUUGACUCCUGAAGCCAGCAAGACCACGAGCCCCAGGGAGGAACGAACAACUCCAGACGCGCUGCCUUAAGAGCUGUAACACUCACCGAGAAGGUCUGCAGCUUCACUCCUGAGCCAGCGAGGCCACGAACCCACCAGAAGGAAGAAACUCUGAACACAUCCGAACAUCAGAAGGAACAAACUCCAGACGUGCCACCUUAAGAGCUGUUAACACUCACCGCGAGGGUCCGCGGCUUCAUUUUUGAAGUCAGUGAGACCAAGAACCAACCAAUUCGGGACACAAUACCAACUCUUUCAUGCCAGGAGAAGCCUCCUUAAAAAAUUUCGGUGAUUAACAGCAGCACAUGGGUCAAAAUCUCCUGAAAGUUGAGCAGGGGAGCUGUAGAAGAAUUCCUCCUUUUCUCGCAGAUGAAAUCUUAUGAUAUAGCAGGGGUUACCUGGCCAAGAAGGAACACAGAGGAGAACAAAGAAAAUUCAAGGAACUAAAUUCCUUCUCCACCUCAACCACCAGCAUUGAUACUCCAUCACUUAUGUACUGCAUCAAGCCGUCCUCAGAGGUGAGGAAGGUGCUGUCAAGACUAGAAGCAUGUGUCCCUCUCUCCAUUGCAAGAUGGGACAUAGAGAGGAGAAAAGUGGCAGACAGAAGGCUAAUCUCAACUGGAAACCAGAAGGCUAGAAAUCUUACUGAUGUGAUGUCCAGGGAUACAGAGCAUAUGAAGGAUGCAGAGAGUGGGUCAAAUGGAAGGAAUGUAGCAAAACAUGUAAACUUGAUUCUCUUGAUGACUAUUACGAAGGUAUAUGAAGAGGCAGGUGCCUUGGGAAGCUAGUGAAGCCAAAAUCCCAGAGCUUCUCGCUUGCGUAGACUCCUGUGAGGGCUGGGAAUUUCUGUCAU
rnacentral:lncRNA from 1 species